GAUAUAGCAGAAGCUCGUCUCCAACGCUAUCGUCUUCCUCACUCUCUCUCAAACUCUCUCAGGCGAAAACCUCUCCCUGCUCUCAGAAACAAAGACUAUUACAAAACAGGAAGCUCACCCUCGGACCUUUGAUGAAGAUGACAGCUCAGGGUUUCAAAGGUGCCUUUGGUAAUCCAGAAGAGUAACUCUGCAAAGCCCUUUUUGAUGUUCAGAAACUGGAUUGACCCCUUUGAUGCUUGGCCUUGGAAAGUGAAGUUGGUUACAAGUGGACACGUUGAAGAAACUGAGAAUUUGAUGAAGGUUCCCUCGUGUUUUCAGUUAUCCAUCGCAAACUUUGUGCAUACUUGUCGUUUAUGAAAAUGGAUUUGAUGUGUUUGGCGAUGACGGGCAACGAUGAUUGUUGCUGUUCUUCAAUUUUAUCUGCAUCUUUAGCAGCACCUGGAAAUGCUUGUUGACUAGACGGCGGAUGUACGGAGUUGGGCUGCUGUAGCGAGACA